rnacentral:SRP_RNA from 1 species
AGUUCGACCUGGAGUAUCCACUGGGCCGCCGUGUUGACGGAACUGCUCCAGGCCUGGAAGCAGUUCUGCCGAAGAUCCUAGGUGCGAUGGGCAGCGGAGGUAGUGGGGCCA